GAUGAACGCUGGCGGCGUGCUUAACACAUGCAAGUCGAACGGGAUCCAUCGGGCUUUGCUUGGUGGUGAGGGUGGCGAACGGGUGAGUAAUGCGUGACCGACCUGCCCCAUACACCGGAAUAGCUCCUGGAAACGGGUGGUAAUGCCGGAUGUUCCAGUUGAUCGCAUGGUCUUCUGGGAAAGCUUUCGCGGUAUGGGAUGGGGUCGCGUCCUAUCAGCUUGACGGCGGGGUAACGGCCCACCGUGGCUUCGACGGGUAGCCGGCCUGAGAGGGCGACCGGCCACAUUGGGACUGAGAUACGGCCCAG
rnacentral:rRNA from 1 species